rnacentral:sRNA from 1 species
GUUGAGUCUCAGCUGAGCUCAGUUCCCACCAGGGUUCGAUCUAUAUUGGUACCACGUUAGGCUUCUUCCGAGCAAUCAGUCUCGAGGAUGCUUCUUUCCGCCGGACGGAUGUCUCGGUGCGCUUCUACUUCCCCUUGUGGAAUGUAGCAAUCUUCCCAGUGCUAUCUGGAGUCAAGUUCCCAGUUCUAUCUGGAGAAAUAUCUCCGAGGUCCUAUCCUCGUGGAUGUCGUCCUGUCUUCCACCAUCAUUGUGGUUAAGACCCAAAUGAGGUAAUCUAAAUUACCUCUCUUUUUGUAUAAUUUCUUUUUAGGUUGUUG